GGUGACUGCGUACCUUUUGUAUAAUGGGUCAGCGACUUAUAUUUUGUAGCGAGGUUAACCGGAUAGGGGAGCCGAAGGGAAACCGAGUCUUAACUGGGCGACAAGUUGCAAGAUAUAGACCCGAAACCCGGUGAUCUAGCCAUGGGCAGGAAGAAGGUUGGGUAACACUAACUGGAGGGCCGAACCGACUACUGUUGAAAAAGUAGCGGAUGACCUGUGGCUGGGGGUGAAAGGCCAAUCAAACCGGGAGAUAGCUGGUUCUCCCCGAAAUCUAUUUAGGUAGAGCCUUAUAUGAAUACCUUCGGGGGUAGAGCACUGUUUCGGCUAGGGGUCCAUCCCGGAUUACCAACCCGAUGCAAACUGCGAAUACCGAAGAGUAAUGUAUAGGAGACACACGGCGGGUGCUAACGUUCGUCGUGGAGAGGGAAACAACCCAGACCGCCAGCUAAGGUCCCAAAGUCUAUAUUAAGUGGGAAACGAAGUGGAAAGGCUUAGACAGCUAGGAUGUUGGCUUAGAAGCAGCCAUCAUUUAAAGAAAGCGUAAUAGCUCACUAGUCGAGUCGGUCUGCGCGGAAGAUGUAACGGGGCUAAAAUAUAGCACCGAAGCUGCGGCAUCAGGCGUAUCACACAUACGCCUUACGAUUAACACCUUGCGAAGCAAGGUGGUCAAGCGACUUACACGUUGAGGUGUGAGCGGGAGGGAUAAUCGAAGAGAGGAAUAUGUGUGAUACGUCUGUUGGGUAGGGGAGCGUUGUGUAAGCUGAAGAAGGUGGUUCGAGAGGGCUGCUGGAGGUAUCACAAGUGCGAAUGCUGACAUAAGUAACGAUAAAGCGGGUGAAAGGCCCGCUCGCCGGAAGACCAAGGUUUCCUGUCCAACGUUAAUCGGGGCAGGGUGAGUCGGCCCCUAAGGCGAGGCUGAGAAGCGUAGUCGAUGGGAAAUGGGUUAAUAUUCCCAUACUUGGAUAAACUGCGAUGUGGGGACGGAGCAGGUUAGGUUAGCGUACGGAUGGAAGAGUACGUUUAAGUUAGUAGGUGGGUGAGUUAGGCAAAUCCGGCUCACCAUUAACACUGAGAGAUGAUGACGAAGCUCUACGGAGCUGAAGUAACUGAUACCCAACUUCCAGGAAAAGCCACUAAGCUUCAGGUUUAUCUAAACCGUACUGGAAACCGACACAGGUGGUCAGGUAGAGAAUACUAAGGCGCUUGAGAGAACUCGGGUGAAGGAACUAGGCAAAAUAGCACCGUAACUUCGGGAGAAGGUGCGCUGGCGUAGUGUGAAGUUCUUCGCGAAUGGAGCACGAACCAGUCGAAGCGACGAGCUGGCUGCAACUGUUUAAUAAAAACACAGCACUCUGCAAACACGAAAGUGGACGUAUAGGGUGUGAUGCCUGCCCGGUGCUGGAAGGUUAAUUGAUGGUGUUAUCGAAAGAGAAGCACCUGAUCGAAGCCCCAGUAAACGGCGGCCGUAACUAUAACGGUCCUAAGGUAGCGAAAUUCCUUGUCGGGUAAGUUCCGACCUGCACGAAUGGCAUAAUGAUGGCCAGGCUGUCUCCACCCGAGACUCAGUGAAAUUGAAAUCGCCGUGAAGAUGCGGUGUACCCGCGGCUAGACGGAAAGACCCCGUGAACCUUUACUAUAGCUUGACACUGAACCUUGAAUUUUAAUGUGUAGGAUAGGUGGGAGACUAAGAAGCGGUAACGCCAGUUAUCGUGGAGUCGAUGUUGAAAUACCACCCUUUAACGUUUGAUGUUCUAACGAAGCACCUGGAACGGGUGUUCGGACAGUGUCUGGUGGGUAGUUUGACUGGGGCGGUCUCCUCCCAAAGCGUAACGGAGGAGCACGAAGGUUGGCUAAUGACGGUCGGACAUCGUCAGGUUAGUGCAAUGGUAGAAGCCAGCUUAACUGCGAGACGGACAAGUCGAGCAGGUACGAAAGUAGGUCAUAGUGAUCCGGUGGUUCUGAAUGGAAGGGCCAUCGCUCAACGGAUAAAAGGUACUCCGGGGAUAACAGGCUGAUACCGCCCAAGAGUUCAUAUCGACGGCGGUGUUUGGCACCUCGAUGUCGGCUCAUCACAUCCUGGGGCUGAAGUAGGUCCCAAGGGUAUGGCUGUUCGCCAUUUAAAGUGGUACGCGAGCUGGGUUUAGAACGUCGUGAGACAGUUCGGUCCCUAUCUGCCGUGGGCGUUGGAGGAUUGAGGGGGGUUGCUCCUAGUACGAGAGGACCGGAGUGAACGCACCGCUGGUGUUCCAGUUGUUUCGCCAGAAGCAUUGCUGGGUAGCUAAGUGCGGAAGA
rnacentral:rRNA from 1 species